rnacentral:rRNA from 1 species
AGGAACAAGGUUUCCGUAGGUGAACCUGCGGAAGGAUCAUUACAGAAUCUCUUCUAAAGUUUUGUUAUGAGUAAUUAUUCUAGCGCUGCUGAAAUAUUGCGUGCGCGGUUGGUUGCUUGUGAUAAUUCUUUGGGAAAACUCUAUACACUUUGUUUUCUUAUUAGAGACAAACUUGCUUUGGUCAGAUGUGCGUAAAACCACGACUGAUCAGAGAUUAAAUAAAACUCAUUUUUGUUUUCGGGCAAAAAACGUGUAUUAUUCAUAGUCAAAACUUGAAGCUAUUCUUUAUUGAAUUGCUGAACUAAACUUAAAACUUUCAACAACGGAUCUCUUGGUUCUCGCAUCGAUGAAGAACGCAGCGAAGUGCGAUAAGUAAUGUGAAUUGCAGAUUUUCGUGAAUCAUCGAAUCUUUGAACGCAUAUUGCGCCCUCUGGUAUUCCGGAGGGCAUGCCUGUUUGAGCGUCAUUUCCUUCUCAUAUCCCUAGGAUGUGGUGAUGAGCGAUACUUUCGUAAGAAAGUUCGUUUGAAAUGAAUUGGCACGAGUCUUUCGACAGAUUGAUGCUAUGUUUUCAAUGUAUUAGGUUUACACCAUCGUUGAUUGUAGUAUUGGGCUGUUGAAGUUAUGGGCUUUGCUUUACAAACUUUACCUUAAAGUUUGACCUCAAAUCAGGUAGGAUUACCCGCUGAACUUAAGCAUAUCUAAAAGGGGAAAAAAGAA